rnacentral:rRNA from 1 species
UACGGGGGGGGCAAGCGUUGCUCGGAAUUACUGGGCGUAAAGGGCGCGUAGGCGGAUAGUUUAGUCAGAGGUGAAAGCCCAGGGCUCAACCUUGGAAUUGCCUUUGAUACUGGCUAUCUUGAGUUCGGGAGAGGUGAGUGGAAUGCCGAGUGUAGAGGUGAAAUUCGUAGAUAUUCGGCGGAACACCAGUGGCGAAGGCGACUCACUGGCCCGAUACUGACGCUGAGGCGCGAAAGCGUGGGGAGCAAACAGG